AGCGGCGAACGGGUGAGUAACACGUAGGUGAUCUGCCCAUCAGACGGGGACAACGAUUGGAAACGAUCGCUAAUACCGGAUAGGACGAAAGUUUAAAGGUGCUUCUGGCACCGCUGAUGGAUGAGCCUGCGGCGCAUUAGCUAGUUGGUAGGGUAAAGGCCUACCAAGGCGACGAUGCGUAGCCGACCUGAGAGGGUGAACGGCCACACUGGGACUGAGACACGGCCCAGACUCCUACGGGAGGCAGCAGUAGGGAAUCUUCGGCAAUGGGCGAAAGCCUGACCGAGCAACGCCGCGUGAAUGAUGAGGGCCUUCGGGUUGUAAAAUUCUGUUAUAAGGGAAGAACGACUUUAGUAGGAAAUGGCUAGAGUGUGACGGUACCUUAUGAGAAAGCCACGGCUAACUACGUGCCAGCAGCCGCGGUAAUACGUAGGUGGCGAGCGUUAUCCGGAAUUAUUGGGCGUAUAGAGCGCGCAGGUGGUUGAUUAAGUCUGAUGUGAAAGCCCACGGCUUAACCGUGGAGGGUCAUUGGAAACUGGUCGACUUGAGUGCAGAAGAGGGAAGUGGAAUUCCAUGUGUAGCGGUGAAAUGCGUAGAGAUAUGGAGGAACACCAGUGGCGAAGGCGGCUUCCUGGUCUGUAACUGACACUGAGGCGCGAAAGCGUGGGGAGCAAACAGGAUUAGAUACCCUGGUAGUCCACGCCGUAAACGAUGAGUGCUAAGUGU
rnacentral:rRNA from 1 species